rnacentral:rRNA from 1 species
UACGUAGGAUCCAAGCGUUGUCCGGAUUUACUGGGUGUAAAGGGUGCGCAGGCGGACUUGUAAGUCAGGGGUGAAAUCUCACAGCUUAACUGUGAAACUGCCUUUGAUACUGCAAGUCUUGGAUCCAGAAGAGAGUUGUGGAAUUCCGAGUGUAGCAGUGAAAUGUGUAGAUAUUCGGAAGAACGCCAGUGGCGAAGGCAGCAACUUGGUCUGGUAUCGACGCUCAGGCACGAAAGCAUGGGGAUCAAACAGG